rnacentral:rRNA from 1 species
GAUGAACGCUGACCGAAUGCUUAACACAUGCAAGUCUACUUGAAUUUGGGUUUUUUAACUUAGAUUUGGGUGGCGGACGGGUGAGUAACGCGUAAAGAACUUGCCUCACAGUUAGGGACAACAUUUGGAAACGAAUGCUAAUACCUGAUAUUAUGAAUAUAUGGCAUCAUAUAAUUAUGAAAGCUAUAAGCGCUGUGAGAGAGCUUUGCGUCCCAUUAGCUAGUUGGAGAGGUAACGGCUCACCAAGGCGAUGAUGGGUAGCCGGCCUGAGAGGGUGAACGGCCACAAGGGGACUGAGACACGGCCCUUACUCCUACGGGAGGCAGCAGUGGGGAAUAUUGGACAAUGGACCAAGAGUCUGAUCCAGCAAUUCUGUGUGCACGAUGACGUUUUUCGGAAUGUAAAGUGCUUUCAGUUGGGAAGAAAAAAAUGACGGUACCAACAGAAGAAGUGACGGCUAAAUACGUG